rnacentral:rRNA from 1 species
UAAGCCUUCGUCGGCAGCGUCAGAUGUGUAUAAGAGACAGGACUUACAUUGAUUAGCAAGCUUAACCAGGUAGGGGAGGCGUAGGGAAACCGAGUCUGAAUAGGGCGAUAGUUGAUUGAUGUAGACCCGAAACCGAGUGAUUUAUCCAUGUCCAGGAUGAAGGUUAGGUAACACUGACUGGAGGUCCGAACCUACUAAUGUUGCAAAAUUAGAGGAUGAGGUGUGGAUAGGGGUGAAAGGCCAAACAAACUCGGAGAUAGCUGGUUCUCCCCGAAAACUAUUUAGGUAGUGCCUUAAGGGGAUACUCACGGGGGUAAAGCACUGUUAUGGCUAGGGGGUCAAUGCGACUUACCAACCCAUGGCAAACUCAGAAUACCGUGAAGUAGAUACUUAGGAGACAGACAUUGGGUGCUAACGUCCAGUGUCAAGAGGGAAACAACCCAGACCGCCAGCUAAGGUCCCAAAUAAUCAGUUAAGUGGAAAACGAAGUGAGGAGGCGAAGACAGCUAGGAUGUUGGCUUAGAAGCAGCCACCCUUUAAAGAAAGCGUAAUAGCUCACUAGUCGAGUCGUCUUGCGCGCAAGAUGUAACGGGGCUAAAACUGAUAACCGAAGCUGCGGAUGCAAGUAAUUGCAUGGUAGGGGAGCGUUCUGUAGGCCAGAGAAGGUAGACUGAGAAGUUUACUGGAGGUAUCAGAAGAGCGAAUGUUGACAUGAGUAACGAUAAAGCGAGUGAAAAGCUCGUUCGCCGAAAGCCCAAGGAUUCCUACGUGACGUUAAUCGGCGUAGGGUAAGUCGGCCCCUAAGGGCAGGCAGAAAUGCGGAGCUGAUGGGAAACGGGUUAAUAUUCCCGUACUUUUUAAUAGUAAGCGAAGUGGGGACGAAGAAGGAUAGGUUAUCAAUCUGUUGGAAUAGAUUGUCCAAGCAUGUAGGUAAGGUACUUAGGCAAAUCCGGGUACUGAGUACUAAGGUGUGAAGGGGAGGCCCUAAGGGGUCGAAGUAGCUGAAUCCAAACUUCCAGGAAAAGCCACUAAGUAGUAGCUAUUAAAUAACCGUACCGCAAACCGACACAGGUGGGCAGGAAGAGAAUUCUAAGGCGCUUGAGAGAACUCAGGAGAAGGAACUCGGCAAAAUGACACCGUAACUUCGGGAGAAGGUGUGCCUAUUUAGGUGAAAGAUUUAGGCAAUCUGAGCGUAGGUAGGCCGCAGAGAAUAGGUGGCUGCGACUGUUUACUAAAAACACAGCACUCUGCAAACACGCAAGUGGACGUAUAGGGUGUGACGCCUGCCCGGUGCUGGAAGGUUAAUUGAUGGGGUUAGCGUAAGCGAAGCUCUUGAUCGAAGCCCCAGUAAACGGCGGCCGUAACUAUAACGGUCCUAAGGUAGCGAAAUUCCUUGUCGGGUAAGUUCCGACCUGCACGAAUGGCGUAACGACUUCUCUGCUGUCUCGACCACAGGCCCGGUGAAAUUG